UACGUAGGGGGCAAGCGUUGUCCGGAUUUAUUGGGCGUAAAGAGCGUGUAGGCGGCCAGGUAGGUCAGCUGUGAAAACUCGAGGCUCAACCUCGAGACGCCGGUUGAAACCAUCUGGCUAGAGUCCGGAAGAGGAGAGUGGAAUUCCUGGUGUAGCGGUGAAAUGCGUAGAGAUCGGGAGGAACACCAGUGGCGAAGGCGGCUACCUGGACCAGCACUGACACUGAGGCACGAAAGCGUGGGGAGCAAACAGG
rnacentral:rRNA from 1 species